UACGUAGGGUGCAAGCGUUGUCCGGAAUUAUUGGGCGUAAAGAGCUCGUAGGCGGUUUGUCGCGUCUGCUGUGAAAACGCGAGGCUUAACCCCGAGCCUGCAGUGGAUACGGGCAGACUAGAGGUAGGUAGGGGAGAAUGGAAUUCCCGGUGUAGCGGUGAAAUGCGCAGAUAUCGGGAGGAACACCGGUGGCGAAGGCGGUUCUCUGGGCCUUACCUGACGCUGAGGAGCGAAAGCGUGGGGAGCGAACAGG
rnacentral:rRNA from 1 species